AUAAACGGUAAUUUCUCCCUCAAAUCUCCCUGAAGUUCUUGCCUGGUUUCCCAAAGAAGCUAAGCAGGGUUGAGCCUGGCCAGUACCUGGAUGGGAGACCCCCUGGAGAAAACUAAGGUUACUGCUGAAA
rnacentral:rRNA from 1 species